UCUUCCAACCUCCGCUUGUCAAAUGUCGGUUCCAAAUCUUGAGGGGGGUGAUUCUGCUGCAGGAGGUGAUUCUGGUGGCGUUGGUGGAGGAUUACUUGCUUGGUUUGAAGUGGGUGGUUUGUCUUCUUUAGAGACAUCAACUGAGCGAAUAGUGAAACCUUUUGAGGUUUUUGGAGAGAGAUGAAUGAUAAUUUGCAAUAAUGAGUAGUGGGUUUUUUGGGAGGGAAGGGAAGUGGGAAAGGUGGAAAGAGAAAGUGGGUCUUGUAGUUGCAGAAGCCAUCAAUGGCAUUAGUAUUUAAUG
rnacentral:misc_RNA from 1 species